AAGAAUAGCCUGUUUAACAGUGUAGAGCAGCUGAGGAGGAGUAAUGCAAACUGAAUCAUUCCCGACGCACAUGCAGAACGUCAUUGCCGAGUUAAGGGAUAGCCCUCCUAAACCUCUGCUCACAUGGACAAGUUCCAUAUGACUGCAAGGCAACAAACAUCAUUUAUUUGUGGCUUGAUCCGAGAAACCUCGUUCAGUCAAAACUACUACCGUUCCCUGGGAGAUUUUGCUAAGCAAGGAUUCAGGACAGAGUGUGAGGAUCUUCUCAAGUCACAGGGCUGAGCAGUCUUCACAGGAUAUCCGGCAGCACUCAGGGAGAGCCUCGGGAAAUGAAAGUGCAGAGCAGCAGCCUCCACCUCUUUGGCGUGGGUCAGCCCUGAGCAGUUUCGCUUUCCGCUUCCCAGUUUGCUUGUGGAGAAGCCAAAAGGACUGGUGAUCGGUGCCUCACCCCGCACGGACACACGG